rnacentral:lncRNA from 1 species
AACACCUUAGUUAUGUAAGAAUCCCUGGGCUGCUGUGAAGAGUGCCUAUGGCAGCAGAAUAAUGGUCUCCCGGAGGCGUACAUAUCCUAAUCCCUGCAACCUGUGGAUGCUACUUUCAUGGCAAAAUAAUUUUGGAACACAAGGAGGCAGAAAGAACUGUGUCCCAAUGUUGUGAGAAGAGAAAGACACAAUGAACCACUGCUGGCUUUGAAGAUGGAAGAGGGAGCUGCAACCCAAAGAAUGCCUCUAGAAGCAGGAGAAGGCAAGAAACAGAUUCUCGCCUAGAGCUUCCAGAAAGGAGCACAGUGCCAGCACUUUGAUGUUAGCCAUUCUUAAGAAGUGACUCUCCAGGGGAGCUAAAAUCCAUGUAUUUGGGCACACACUUGAACAAUAUUGCUAGAGAAAUUUAAGCAAGAGCACAAAGGUUAAUGACAUCUCUUGUGGGGACCACUGUGAGAAUAAAACAAGGCACUACGUUGUCUGGGAUGAUGGAAGGAGCUAAAGUCUUCAGUGAAUGAAGGAGCAGGACCAGGAGCUCAAAAUACUUCUUUGAAGACAAAGAAGAAAUGAUAUUACCAAAUGGUUGGCUCAAAAGAACAGGGAUUUUGCAACAGAGAGAGUAUGUCAUGGUCUUGAACAAGCAAUGAAAGAAUCAUCUGAAAGGAAUGUGGAGAUCAGAGAAAAAUGAUGGGAAAGUUACCACAGCCUGCAAAUGAGAAAUGAUGAGAGCCUGCCUGGGUUUUGCCAGGACGAUUAAAUAUCAUUGAUGCUUCUGGUCUACAAUUAGUCAGAGAAGAGAUUAAAAAAAUGAUGAGUAUUCAAGAAGGAAAGUGUUUGCUUUAACAUAUGAAGAAAAGGAGCUUCAGAGUGGUGAUUAACCCCAGAAUUGUGUGGAACGGAUAUGGAAACAAGACCACAGGAGCAUCGAGAACUGAGCAGAACUGAAGGUGACAUGAAAAUCAGCUGCAAGAUUCACCUCAGGGUGAUAAUGGGCUGCAGGUGGCUGCAGGAAUCCCGGGACAUUCUAGGCACUGCCAUAUUUUCUUAGGGGCCAGUAAGGAUGGCUAUCAUCAGAUGUACCUGAUGAUACAAACAUGGGCUGUCUUGCCUUCUAGUAUUCAUUCUUGAUGAUUGCAUCCAGAGCUCACUUUGGAGGUGCAGAUCAACUCUUCUUCAGGCUCAUCCAUGCGACUUGAGUGGGCUCUCAUCCCCAUUCCCAGGGGCUUAUGACAAUCAAGGUUUCCACUCCUCCAUGGUCUCAAUGGUUUUUCUCCCCAUGGGAAGCACAUAAUCCCAUUAGAGGCCACGGGAAGCUUUUUUGUUGGGCUUUGAGGGAAAAAAGGCUUUUGCAGCCAAUGAAUCGAUCAAUGUGUACUUCAACCUGGAUUGUAUGUAUGCAUCUCCUAGAUUGGGCGGAUGAUGAAGUGAGGCUGGAAGUGCUGAGCAUCUUCCUACCUGGGAUGACUGGGCUGAGCAGGAAGCCUACCCCGGGGUUCCAGCCAAGUUGGAGCCUGUGAGUGUGUGGUGUAGUUUAACGCCCUGAUUAAAUCACUAGGAAGCCAUUUCUCUCUCUCCUCCCAGACCAGAUCAGACAAUAUGUUCCCUUAUUUCUACUAAAGCCCCAAUUGGAUUUUGUGUCUUUUGAUACUGAAAGAAUCUUACCACAAAUAAAAUAAUUUGUCAUGUGGCUCCUACAUAUUUAUUCAGUUACAUAAACUAACUAAAUAAAUGAAUAAACUGUCAAUAAUGGUAGUUCCUCAUCUAUGAAUGACUCUUUACAAAGCCUAUCUCGCUUAAUAGUCAUAAUAAAUACUGAAGUAGAUACUAUUUAUACCUUUUUUUUAAAAGGAAUUAAAUAUUUUCAGGGUUAUACAAAGCAUGAGUAUUGUGGGUACAAAUUCAAGCUUUCUAACUCAAAUUUGAAGACUUAUCCCCAGGAUACUUUUACAUCUUUAGCUAGUACCAUGUAUACCUCAAAAGCUUACAUUAUUUUUCACAUGUGUUAGGUUUUGAGGGAUAAUCAAUAAGGAGGGCAUACUUUCAGGCUUCUUAUUUAUAACUGUGAAAUUUAGAAAUUGAUGGAGUAGCAGAUUUCUCGGUAGGAGACAGCUGUUUUAAAAUGCCCCAUGUUUUUAUUAAAGUAAAAAUCUCAAAAAUUGUCUUUUAAAAAGUGGCUCUGGCCAAUCUUAGAUAAAACAUCAUUUACUAGACUUAGGAAUUUCCUGUAGUAAAUUUCAGAUUUACUUUUCGGUCUCACAUCAUCAAAGAGAUCAUAACCCUUUGUGCAAUUAUGGUCUUGAACCAAGGCCUAUUCUCUAGGUCACUGCUGUCAGGACUUCAAGAUAAUUGUUUCCAUUGCAGGAUUUGAUUUUUAAUUCCCCGGAUGUUCUUGACGUGGUUCAGUUCUUCAGGAAAUCAUCACCCUCAUGAGCCCUCCCUGCCACUUGCAGAUAGGGCUUUCUCCCGGUAAGUUCUGGAGUCACGGCAGAGCUCAAUAAGUCUGAUUGGGACCUCCUAUGAUUAU